rnacentral:lncRNA from 1 species
AUUGAGAUAGUCGGGCUUGAUUGGGAAACAAUAACAUGGUUUAUGUGCUCGUUCUGGGUAAAUAGAGUUUCUAUCAUUUAUGGUAGUUACUUGUUUCCCGGAUAGUUUAGUUACGUAGCCAAUUGUGGAACUUUCUUGCUAAAAUUUUUAAGAAACACUAAAAAUGUCCUGGUUGAUAAGUCGAAAAUCAGAAACUUCUUUGGAAAACAAAAUUCGCCUCUACAAAUCCAUACUGAAGCCUGUUGGGGCCUACUCUAUACAGCUCUGGGGG